ensembl:antisense Gm15582 predicted gene 15582
GACAGGACAUGGAGGACGGAUGGAGCACAGCCCGUCGUCAUCGUGGCAGAGGCCCUGGUUACUCAGCUCUCCCUUCUCAAGUAGGGUACUGAACCCAGGAAGGGCUCCCUGCUCCCAGUCGCCCCCAUUCUCGGCCCUGGUAAGGCUUCGGACCUCCUUGCCCUUGGAGUCACAGGAAUGUCAACCCUGGGCCAGCUAGAAGCACACAGCCUAUAGGAAGGCAGCUCCUCCAGUUAGGAGGAUGUGCCUCUCUGGCCAUGUGACCUAUCCCCAGCGCAGAUGGCCUUGACCCCUGGGUUGCAGAGUACUGGAUGGGAUGGGGGAAAUUCUCUCUCCUUUUCACCUGUACCUGGGCAUUAUAUCCUAAGAUGACUGGGUGGCAGUGAGGGUACCCUAGGUAGACCCUGAACACAGAGUGGCUCCAUCACGGCUGCAGUAAGAACUACAGGAUAGGAGGGACAGAAAGAUCCGUGUGCUGAGGUCCACGUAUACACGGACAGCAGCUGAAAGGGCAGGGUUGUGACAGGAAGCAGCUAGGAGGCUCCUCUCCUGGCUUACCGGGAGCCUUGCAUUCUUUGUAAAGAGCUGGCUAAUUGUUUUCAUCAUGAAUCCUGGGAAUCUGAGCCGCCCGGCAGUCUCCAGCACAGCCAGGACAACAUUCCAGGGGCCAGCCCGAAGCCUUGGCUUGCCCAUCUCCUGUCCGCAGUCCACUGGGCUUGCAGGGUGCUUCCUCAGUCAGGGCUGCAGGAGCCGAGAUACCAGCUGGGGCACACACACACACCCUAGGCUCCUCCAUCUGGCUGCAGCAGCCCUGUCUGCGUCCCCCUCGAAGUUUAUUUUAAACUAUUUCACGUGGAAAAAACUCAGCUUCCUCUUCAGUAGUAGGUUCCAAGAAGGCUAACCCCUUCCUCUCCAGUCUGUUCCACCCCACCCCUGAAAAAAACUAAUAAGGACAGCAAAAAUGCUACACACUACCGGAAACACGACUGCCCAUGAGCAUCUGUAUCCUCGGGCCGAGACUCCUGGUACACUCCAGAAUAAACGUACCCAGCUGUGAGGUAGCAGAGGCUCACAGAAAGAUGUGCUUAAGACGGAGGCCAGAGCAGCCUGCUGUUCACAGACUCCCCAAGCUGAGCCUCCCUCUUUAACAGGUCAGAGGUCAGGGCUCACCAAUCUCGCUCUGAUUCUAAGGCAGGAUAACCACCUUCCCAGGUCACAGGAGCUGCUUAGGGCACAGCAUGGGGAGGGGCUGGUGGGUUUUACCAUGGCCCCCAGGUUCUGAGGGAGCUGGGCAGAACUGGAACUUGGCAUUCACAGCCUGGAAAAACCUGAAACGGCCCGUCUUGGUUCUGUAAUCUGAACCCUUUGGGGCUGCCAUGCAGUGGCACACAGAGUCCAAGCCCACUGCCAACAACAAGCCCAUCUCUUCAGUGACAUCAGACGCCUCGAGCGUGGGGACCCACUGCAGCCCCACAGCGCCCUGCAGGCUGAUGGUACCCCAGCUGCCCGACACUUCUGUCAAGCACUGCCCCAUUCCUGUCUAGGCUCUCUGUAUAAUUUAGACACAGGAGACUGAAAAGC